rnacentral:sRNA from 1 species
GGGGGUGUACUGGUUUCGACGGGGGUGUGGAAACCGGAUAAGCGAGCCGCAGAUGGUCCAGCUGCGUUAAAAGGACCCGUUAAAUACAAACGCUAAAAAUACAAACAAACUCGCAUUUGCUGCUUAGUUCAGCACCGCGCAUCGACCGGAAUUCACCUGCAGGUUCCGGAUCCGGUGUCAAACAUGCAGGAAAACCUUGUGCGUGAUCCCGGCCGCAUAAGGGACCAACGGGAUAGCUGAGACGACAGCCUGCUUCCGGGCGGGCGUCAGGGCGAAUCUUAAAACGGAGGCUGCGCUCGGAGAAAGUCCUGUGGAAAUGCUUUCGGACGCGGGUUCGAGUCCCGCCACUUCCACCA